rnacentral:rRNA from 1 species
CCUACGGGAGGCUGCAGUGGGGAAUAUUGGACAAUGGGGGGAACCCUGAUCCAGCCAUGCCGCGUGUGUGAAGAAGGCCCUCGGGUUGUAAAGCACUUUCAGUGAGGAAGAACGCCUGGUGGUUAAUACCCAUCAGGAAAGACAUCACUCACAGAAGAAGCACUGGCUAACUCCGUGCCAGCAGCCGCGGUAAUACGGAGGGUGCGAGCGUUAAUCGGAAUUACUGGGCGUAAAGCGCGCGUAGGUGGCUUGAUAAGCCGGUUGUGAAAGCCCCGGGCUCAACCUGGGAACGGCAUCCGGAACUGUCAAGCUAGAGUGCAGGAGAGGAAGGUAGAAUUCCCGGUGUAGCGGUGAAAUGCGUAGAGAUCGGGAGGAAUACCAGUGGCGAAGGCGGCCUUCUGGACUGACACUGACACUGAGGUGCGAAAGCGUGGGUAGCAAACAGGAUUAGAUACCCGAGUAGUC